GGAUGCUGGGAGCUGCGGCGUCUUUUUUUUAGGCAUCGGGGAAACUAUUUAACAAAUCUCAGAGAUCGCCUUAAUUGAAAUUGGGGAGCUGUGCACCAAAUAAUCAAGGGAGGAAGAGGAAGGAGGAAAACAGUUGAAAAAGCUGCCUAUCUUCUCCUCCCCCCCCGCCUUGAAUUCAGCAACCAGGCAGGACAGCCUCCUGCUACCGGGAGGCCCUGCUUAAUAACGUUGACUGCUGUCCUGUAUUGUGUUGAUGUGCAGCCAGCAAAAUGGAACUGGGAGAAGAUGCCCCUCUACAGCAGCCUGAGAGUGGAUGCUAGCACCAAGCUCCUAGAGAGGUGCUGUGGUGCUCAUGUGUGACCUAAGCACAGUGAAUAGUAAAGUGAGUAAGACAGCAC